AGCAGCCACGGUAAUUCCAGCUCCAAUAGCGUAUAUUAAAGUUGUUGCAGUUAAAAAGCUCGUAGUUGAAUUUCGGGGUCAGUAGGCUGGUCGUGCCACGGGUAUGUACUGGUCUUACUGAUUCCUCCUUCCUGAUGAGCCGUAAUGCCAUUAAUUUGGUGUUGCGGGGAAUCUGGACUGUUACUUUGAAAAAUUAGAGUGUUUAAAGCAGGCUAACGCUUGAAUACAUUAGCAUGGAAUAAUGAAUAGGACGAUCGAUCCUAUUUUGUUGGUUUCUAGGAUUGACGUAAUGAUUAAUAGGGAUAGUUGGGGGCAUUAGUAUUCAAUUGUCAGAGGUGAAAUUCUUGGAUUUAUUGAAGACUAACUACUGCGAAAGCAUUUGCCAAGGAUGUUUUCAUUAAUCAAGAACGAAAGUUAGGGGAUCGAAGACGAUCAGAUACCGUCGUAGUC
rnacentral:rRNA from 1 species